rnacentral:rRNA from 1 species
CAUGGGCAGGUUGAAGGUUGGGUAACACUAACUGGAGGACCGAACCGACUAAUGUUGAAAAAUUAGCGGAUGACUUGUGGCUGGGGGUGAAAGGCCAAUCAAACCGGGAGAUAGCUGGUUCUCCCCGAAAGCUAUUUAGGUAGCGCCUCGUGAAUUCAUCUUCGGGGGUAGAGCACUGUUUCGGCUAGGGGGUCAUCCCGACUUACCAACCCGAUGCAAACUACGAAUACCGAAGAAUGUUAUCACGGGAGACACACGGCGGGUGCUAACGUCCGUCGUGAAGAGGGAAACAACCCAGACCGCCAGCUA